rnacentral:rRNA from 1 species
GAUGAACGCUGGCGGCGUGCCUAAUACAUGCAAGUCGAGCGAACUGAUUAGAAGCUUGCUUCUAUGACGUUAGCGGCGGACGGGUGAGUAACACGUGGGCAACCUGCCUGUAAGACUGGGAUAACUUCGGGAAACCGAAGCUAAUACCGGAUAGGAUCUUCUCCUUCAUGGGAGAUGAUUGAAAGAUGGUUUCGGCUAUCACUUACAGAUGGGCCCGCGGUGCAUUAGCUAGUUGGUGAGGUAACGGCUCACCAAGGCAACGAUGCAUAGCCGACCUGAGAGGGUGAUCGGCCACACUGGGACUGAGACACGGGCCAGGCUCCUACGGGAGGCAGCAGUAGGGAAUCUUCCGCAAUGGACGAAAGUCUGGCGGAGCAACGCCGCGUGAGUGAUGAAGGCUUUCGGGUCGUAAAACUCUGUUGUUAGGGAAGAACAAGUACGAGAGUAACUGCUCGUACCUUGACGGUACCUAACCAGAAAGCCACGGCUAACUACGUGCCAGCCGCCGCGGUAAGAC